rnacentral:rRNA from 1 species
GACGAACGCUGGCGGCGCGCUUAACACAUGCAAGUCGAACGGAAAGGCCUGCUUUCCCUUGUGGAUUGCGGGUACUCGAGUGGCGAACGGGUGAGUAACACGUGAGUGAUCUGCCCCCAACUUGGGUAUAAGCCUGGGAAACUGGGUCUAAUUCCCGAUAGGACUGCAGGGUGGUGCCUGUGGUGGAAAACGAUCUUCUAGUGGUUGGGGAUGAGCUCGCGGCCUAUCAGCUUGUUGGUGGGGUAAUGGCCUACCAAGGCGGCGACGGGUAGCCGGCCUGAGAGGGUGGACGGACACAUUGGGACUGAGAUACGGCCCAGACUCCUACGGGAGGCAGCAGUGGGGAAUAUUGCACAAUGGGCGGAAGCCUGAUGCAGCGACGCCGCGUGGGGGAUGACGGCCUUCGGGUUGUAAACUCCUUUCGACCGCGAGGAAGCCACCUGGUUGGAAGGGUGGUGACGGUAGUGGUAGAAGAAGCACCGGCUAACUACGUG